ACAGUGGCUUUCUCGCCAGCACUAGCAAACUCGGUUGCGGUAUGAAGUUUCUAAAAUGACACUUGGGGAUAUUUUUGUCAGUACGAUGUAGCUGUUUUUGUCUAGAAAGUUUGGUUGUGCAGAUCUUUUGAGACAUUUCACGUAACGGUGUUCUGGGCUGAUCCGCUGUUGUUUCAGCUACAGACAAUCACUUUCCAGCUCUGAUGUUUUCUGAGAUAUUGGUCUAGCUGCAGUGAUGAGGCGAGGAGAUCCUCUCCCUCGAGCCUUUCAGGCUCCAGUGGAUGUACAUGCCAGUGCGGAUGGCCAAGUGUACAUGUUCGGACACAGACAAGAAGAACCAGAAGUGUCAUCUGAGGAUGAGGAACUCAAUGUCAUGGAGCUCCGGCCGCGGAGCAGAGAGUCGUCCUCACAGGAGAGAGAAAGAGUGGGAGAAAUGCUCUUGUUGGAACGGGACAUCUCACAUGAGGACAAUCUCAACAAACUGGCGCUUCAAUAUG